rnacentral:rRNA from 1 species
UACAGAGACUGCAAGCGUUAUUCGGAUUCACUGGGCGUAAAGGGUGCGCAGGCGGCCGUGUGUGUGAGGCGUGAAAGCCCGAUGCUUAACAUCGGAAUUGCACCUCAAACUACACGGCUAGAGCAUUGGAGAGGGUAGCGGAAUUCACGGUGUAGCAGUGAAAUGCGUAGAUAUCGUGAGGAGCACCAGAGGCGAAGGCGGCUACCUGGACAAUUGCUGACGCUCAGGCACGAAAGCGUGGGGAGCAAAAGGG